AUGGCCGAUACAGCUGUUGACACAACCGCCACUGCAGAGGUUACAGCCAAGGAGCUGAAAGAGAAGAAAGAGGCAGAAGUGGAGGAAAAGACCGAUAACGGGGACGCACCUGCCAAUGGCACAAACGGUGCUGAACACAGUGACAAAGUGGAAGAAACCACAGAGGAGGAGCACAAGAAUGGGGAAGGGAAUGCAGAGGAGGCGCCCCCUGCUGAGGAGACUGAUGCACAGCCUGUGAAGCGUGCAGCUGAGGAGGAGGAGGAAAAGGUGGAGACAAAAAAGCAGAAGACAGAGGAAAAUGGGGAUUCGAAAGAGGCAGAAGUGGAGGCUUAG
rnacentral:lncRNA from 1 species